rnacentral:sRNA from 1 species
CGUAGGUGAACUGCGGAGGGAUCAUUACACAAUAAAAUACGAAGGCCGUUCGCGGCUGGACUAUUUAUUACCCUUGUCUUUUGCGCACUUGUUGUUUCCUGGGCGGGUUCGCUCGCCACCAGGACCACAAUAUAAACCUUUUUUAUGCAGUUGCAAUCAGCGUCAGUAUAACAAAUGUAAAUCAUUUACAACUUUCAACAACGGAUCUCUUGGUUCUGGCAUCGAUGAAGAACGCAGCGAAAUGCGAUACGUAGUGUGAAUUGCAGAAUUCAGUGAAUCAUCGAAUCUUUGAACGCACAUUGCGCCCUUUGGUAUUCCAAAGGGCAUGCCUGUUCGAGCGUCAUUUGUACCCUCAAGCUUUGCUUGGUGUUGGGCGUUUUUGUCCCCCCCAAAAGGGGGACUCGCCUUAAAAGGAUUGGCAGCCGGCCUACUGGUUUCGCAGCGCAGCACAUUUUUGCGCUUGCAAUCAGCAAAAGAGGACGGCAAUCCAUCAAGACUCCUUCUCACGUU